rnacentral:miRNA from 1 species
GUCAGCCACGGUACGACAUGGAGU